GCUGCCGACUGGGUCGGUCACUCCAACCCAAUGU
rnacentral:rRNA from 1 species